rnacentral:rRNA from 1 species
GAGCCUGAGAAACGGCUACCACAUCUAAGGAAGGCAGCAGGCGCGCAAAUUACCCAAUCCUAAUACAGGGAGGUAGUGACAAGAAAUAACAAUACAGGACUUUUUGGUUUUGUAAUUGGAAUGAGUUAAGUAUAAACCCCUUUACAAGUAUCAAUUGGAGGGCAAGUCUGGUGCCAGCAGCCGCGGUAAUUCCAGCUCCAAUAGCGUAUAUUAAAGUUGUUGCAGUUAAAAAGCUCGUAGUUGGAUUUCUGUUAAUAAUUUAUAUAUAAUAUUUGAUUAAUAUUUAUAUAAUAUUAACAUAAUUCAUAUUACUAAAUUUAUUAGUAUAUGAAAUUUUACUUUGAGAAAAUUAGAGUGCUUAAAGCAGGCAUAUGCCUUGAAUACUCCAGCAUGGAAUAAUAUUAAAGAUUUUUAUCUUUCUUAUUGGUUCUAAGAUAAAAUUGGGGGCAAUAGGGACAGUCCUGAGAGGUG